rnacentral:rRNA from 1 species
UACAGAGGGGGCAAGCGUUGUUCGGAAUUACUGGGCGUAAAGGGCGCGUAGGCGGCCUGCUAAGUCGAACGUGAAAUCCCCGAGCUCAACUCGGGAACUGCGUCCGAUACUGGCAGGCUUGAAUCCGGGAGAGGGAUGUGGAAUUCCCGGUGUAGUGGUGAAAUGCGUAGAUAUCGGGAGGAACACCAGUGGCGAAGGCGACUACCUGGCCUGUUCUUGACGCUGAGGCGCGAAAGCUAGGGGAGCAAACGGG